rnacentral:rRNA from 1 species
AAUAUUAGACAAUGGGCGAAAGCCUGAUCUAGCCAUGCCGUGUGUGUGAAGAAGGUCUUCGGAUCGUAAAGCACUUUAAGUUGGGAGGAAAGGAUGUAGAUUAAUACUCUUCAAUUUUGACGUUACCGACAGAAUAAGCACCCGCUAACUACGUGCCAGCAGCCGCGGUAAUACGACGGGUGCUAGCGUUAAUCGGAAUGACUGGGCGUAAAGCGCGCGUAGGUGGUUCGUUAAGUUAGAAGUGAAAGCACCGGGCUUAACCUGGGAAUUGCUUUCAAAACUGACGAGCUAGAGUACGGUAGAGGGUAGUGGAAUUUCCUGUGUAGCGGGGAAAUGCGUAGAUAUAGGAAGGAACAUCAGUGGCGAAGGCGACUACCUGGACUGAUACUGACACUGAGGUGCGAAAGCGUGGGGAGCAAACAGG